GCCAAUCUGGCCGAGUGGUUAUGGCGGUAGUUUAGUCUCCUACGUAGCCUGACCAGGGUGAGCUGGGAGGACGGCAAAGUAGAUCAAAGGCUUAGCGCACCUACACACUACUGGAUUUUCCGCGUGGGUUCGAAUCCCACGAUUGGCA
rnacentral:tRNA from 1 species